rnacentral:rRNA from 1 species
AGAGUUUGAUCCUGGCUCAGGAUGAACGCUGGCGGCACGCCUAACACAUGCAAGUCGAACGAUAUUUUUAGAUUCCAAUCUCGAAGCUCGUGAGAGUCUCAAGAUACGGAGCCUAAAAUUUAUAGUGGCGACGGGUGAGUAACACGUUGGAACCUACCCCGAAGAGGGAGAUAACAACCCGAAAGGGUUGCUAAUACCCCAUAUACUCCGAUUUAUUCGGAGGAAAGCUUUUGCGCUUCGGGAGGGGCCUGCGUAACAUUAGCUUGUUGGUGAGGUAAAAGCUCACCAAGGCUACGAUGUUUAGCUGGUUUGAGAGGAUGAUCAGCCACACUGGGACUGAGAUACGGCCCAGACUCCUACGGGAGGCAGCAGUGAGGAAUAUUCCACAAUGGGGGAAACCCUGAUGGAGCGAUGCCGCGUGCAGGAAGACGCUUUUCGGAGUGUAAACUGCUUUUAAUAGGGAAGAUUAUGACGGUACCUAUCGAAUAAGGACCGGCUAACUACGUG